GUGCAAACUCGAUCACUAGCUCUGCUUGAUGUUGCAGACGUGAAGGGAACGAGGCUUGCUAAAGUAAUUGUGGUGAUAGAAAUUUAUUAGCCUCAGAAGCUACUGAGGCGGUUUCUUCUAUCCCAGGACAGUG